CCUACGGGAGGCAGCAGUGAGGAAUAUUGGUCAAUGGACGAGAGUCUGAACCAGCCAAGUAGCGUGAAGGAUGAAUGCCCUAAGGGUUGUAAACCUCUUUUAUAUGGGAAUAAAAUGUUCCACGUGUGGGCUUUUGUAUGUACCAGAUGAAUAAGGAUCGGCUAACUCCGUGCCAGCAGCCGCGGUAAUACGGAGGAUCCGAGCGUUAUCCGGAUUUAUUGGGUUUAAAGGGAGCGUAGGUGGUUUGUUAAGUCAGGUGUGAAAGUUUGCGGGUCACACGUAAGAUUGCAGUUGAAACUGGCAGUCUUGAGUUCGGUAGAGGUAGGCGGAAUGCGUGGUGUAGCGGUGAAAUGCUUAGAUAUCACGAAGAACUCCGAUUGCGAAGGCAGCUCACUGGA
rnacentral:rRNA from 1 species